rnacentral:rRNA from 1 species
GCUACCCUAUUCUUUUAAAUGUAAUUUAUAAAAUUUAAAUUAUUAUUAGCUAUAAUCUAUAAAAAUAAAAAUUUUGGCGGUAUUUUAGUCUUUUCAGAGGAACCUGUUUCUUAAUCGAUAAUCCACGAUUAUUUUUACUUUAAUUAUAAAUUUACAUAUCGUUGUUUAUAAAAAUUUUAUUAGAAUUUAAAUUUUUAUAAUUUUAAAUUUAAAAAUAAUUCAGAUCAAGGUGUAGUUGAUGUUGAAGUUUAAAUGGGUUACAAUAUAUAUAUAUUUGGUUUUGUUUUUUAAAAUAAUAAAUAAAUUGGAUUUGAAAGUAAUUUUAUUAAUUUAAUUAAUUUGAUUAAGCUCUAAAAUAUGUACACAUCGCC